CGGAGGAUCCAAGCGUUAUCCGGAAUCAUUGGGUUUAAAGGGUCCGUAGGCGGUUCAGUAAGUCAGUGGUGAAAGCCCAUCGCUCAACGGUGGAACGGCCAUUGAUACUGCUAGACUUGAAUUAUUAGGAAGUAACUAGAAUAUGUAGUGUAGCGGUGAAAUGCUUAGAGAUUACAUGGAAUGCCAAUUGCGAAGGCAGGUUACUACUAAUGGAUUGACGCUGAUGGACGAAAGCGUGGGUAGCGAACAGGAUUAGAUACCCUGGUAGUCCACGCCGUAAACGAUGGAUACUAGCUGUUGGGAGCGAUCUCAGUGGCUAAGCGAAAGUGAUAAGUAUCCCACCUGGGGAGUACGUUCGCAAGAAUG
rnacentral:rRNA from 1 species